GAUGAACGCUAGCGGCAGGCUUAAUACAUGCAAGUCGAGCGGCAGCAUGUCCCGUAGCCCUACGGGAUGAUGGCGACCGGCAAACGGGUGCGGAACACGUACAGAACCUUCCUUCGAGCGGGGGAUAGCCCAGAGAAAUUUGGAUUAAUACCCCAUAGUACAACAAAGUGGCGUCACUUUGUUGUUAACGAUUUAUCACUCGAAGAUGGCUGUGCGGCUGAUUAGGUAGUUGGCGGGGUAACGGUCCACCAAGCCUGCGAUCAGUAACUGGUGUGCGAGCACGACAAGUGACACGGGAACUGGGACACGGACACGACGCCUACGGGAGGCAGCAGUAAGGAAGAGUGGGCAGUGGAGGAAAGUCUGAACCAGCCAGGCCGCGUGGAGGAUGAAGGUGCUCUGGAUGGUAAGCUUCUUUUAGAGGGGACGAAAAAAGGCCUUUCUAGGUAGUCUGACGGUACCAUAUGAAUAAGCACCGGCUAACUCCGUG
rnacentral:rRNA from 1 species